GACGAACGCUGGCGGCGUGCUUAACACAUGCAAGUCGAACGCUGAAGCUCAGCUUUUGUUGGGUGGAUGAGUGGCGAACGGGUGAGUAACACGUGAGUAACCUGCCUCCUUCUUUGGGAUAACGCCCGGAAACGGGUGCUAAUACUGGAUAUUCACUGGUCUUCGCAUGGGGGUUGGUGGAAAGGGUUUUUCUGGUGGGGGAUGGGCUCGCGGCCUAUCAGCUUGUUGGUGGGGUGAUGGCCUACCAAGGCUUUGACGGGUAGCCGGCCUGAGAGGGUGACCGGUCACAUUGGGACUGAGAUACGGCCCAGACUCCUACGGGAGGCUGCAGUGGGGAAUAUUGCACAAUGGGCGCAAGCCUGAUGCAGCGACGCCGCGUGAGGGAUGGAGGCCUUCGGGUUGUGAACCUCUUUCGCUCAUGGUCAAGCCGCAACAAUGGUUGUGGUGAGGGUAGUGGGUAAAGAAGCGCCGGCUAACUACGUG
rnacentral:rRNA from 1 species